CCUACGGGAGGCUGCAGUGGGGAAUAUUGGACAAUGGGGGCAACCCUGAUCCAGCCAUGCCGCGUGUGUGAAGAAGGCCCUCGGGUUGUAAAGCACUUUCAGUGAGGAAGAACGCCUGGUGGUUAAUACCCAUCAGGAAAGACAUCACUCACAGAAGAAGCACCGGCUAACUCCGUGCCAGCAGCCGCGGUAAUACGGAGGGUGCGAGCGUUAAUCGGAAUUACUGGGCGUAAAGCGCGCGUAGGUGGCUUGAUAAGCCGGUUGUGAAAGCCCCGGGCUCAACCUGGGAACGGCAUCCGGAACUGUCAAGCUAGAGUGCAGGAGAGGAAGGCAGAAUUCCCGGUGUAGCGGUGAAAUGCGUAGAGAUCGGGAGGAAUACCAGUGGCGAAGGCGGCCUUCUGGACUGACACUGACACUGAGGUGCGAAAGCGUGGGUAGCAAACAGGAUUAGAUACCCGAGUAGUC
rnacentral:rRNA from 1 species